rnacentral:piRNA from 1 species
UUCAAGUCUGGGCUAAUGGGCCAUGAAUGG